CACUCUUGUUUCUCUUCAGAUCGUAUAAAGCUUUCGCCUUUUACUAAAGAUUUCCGUGGGGAGGAACAACAAGAGCCUAUGUUAAUUUUUUUAUGCUCUGCGAAAGCGGAGCU